rnacentral:misc_RNA from 1 species
UAUUUUAUUUUAUUUUAUUUACAUGUUGGGCCUUAAUUUUUGGGCCUUGGUUAUGGAGUUGGGAAUAAGACUUACUACGGACCUCGGAGGCUUUAUGCCCGCUCAGGUCCUAGUGUCGGUCCGGUCCACGGGAUCAGGUUGUGAUACAUUAAAAGGCUCUAUGGGCAUCAGUAAGAACAACAACAGACAGGCUUUGCAGGAUUGCCAGAAACCAAUUACAAGGAAGCUUUCUUUGGAGGCUCAAUUUGGCUAGACAAUCGACAACUUUGUUUGCAUAUCUUUCUAUAAGAGCAAUCAGAAAAUGAUAGAAGGAAGAUUUAUGAGAAUUAAUAGCUGCAACAGUAGCAAUCAACAGUAUUGCUACUACUAAAAUAGUGAUUUGAGUUAUUCUACCAAUCUAUAAAGUUGUACUUAUACUAUUAGAGGCAUAUUGAAGAUGUUGAAUUAUUCAGAACUUGUUAAGGAUUAGAAUAUUAAUUUAUAUGAAUUUAGAAUAUGUAAAAGA